GGAGAAAUGCGGCUGAGAGAGAGAGAGCAAGCAUUUUCCCAGAAUUGAUGGUUUUUUCUGGCAAUAUUUAUGAAGGACGAAUCACCAAGCGACCAUCACUUAAUCUAGACCCAGCAUCAUAUGUUUGAUUAGACAAGCCAGCUAUAUUUGUACUCAAUCUAGAAGAAUCAACCUUGGAUCUUGGUGAUCAAUUGCUAGCAACUUGUGGCUGAGUUUAUGGUAAUUGUGUGACAACUAGUGGUUGAGGUGGUAAAGGAUGUGUCUCAGGCGAUGAUAGUUGUGUAUAAGGGGGUGAUGGCUGUGUAUAAGGUGGCAAUGGCUGUGUAUGAGGUGGUGGUAGCUGUGUCUGAGGCAGUGAUAAUUGUGUCUGAGGUGGUGAUGGACAUGUCUAAGGUGGAGUCAUUUAUCAAUGAUGGAGCAUUAUUUCAUAAAUGAGAAGGAAGUGAGAGUAGUUAUAAGGGUAAGAACGAGGUAAUAGUGAAGAAUUAUAUAUGGGUGAUGUAAAGAGGUCACAUGUUAUUGUCUCAUUCAAGUUUCAUUCACAUAUUUGAGGUUAUCUCAUCUAGUCAUCUUGUCAGAGUUUUUCCACAAAAAAUAAUUGGCAAAUGUGGAUCAUAACACUUUUGAG